UGAUGUACCCAUAUUCUGACUAUUUUAUUUAUUGUGUCUGUUUAGUUAACGCAUCAAUGUAAAUAUAACGGAAAUUGAUGAGACUGUCAUCAAAGUGAGAGGGUUAGCGCUAUAAAACCAGGUUUAAUCCACCAUUUUCUACAUUUGAAAAUGCCUGUACUAAGUCAGGAAUAUGACAGUUCUUGUCCAUUCGUUUUUGAUGCGUUUUGUUAUUUGAUUUUGCCAUGUAAUUAUGGACUUUCCGAAUUGAUUUUCCUCUAAGUUCAGUAUUUUUGUGAUUUUACUUUUU
rnacentral:lncRNA from 1 species